UACGGGGGGGAGCAAGCGUUGUUCGGAUUUACUGGGCGUAAAGGGCGCGUAGGCGGCCACCGCAAGUCGGUUGUGAAAUCUCUGGGCUUAACCCAGAAAGGUCAAUCGAUACUGCGGGGCUAGAGUGCAGAAGGGGCAACUGGAAUUCUCGGUGUAGCGGUGAAAUGCGUAGAUAUCGAGAGGAACACCUGCGGCGAAGGCGGGUUGCUGGGCUGACACUGACGCUGACAGCGCGAAAGCUAGGGGAGCGAACGGG
rnacentral:rRNA from 1 species